rnacentral:lncRNA from 10 species
CGCUGUGCACACUACUGAGAUCAUUUCAGCUGAGAUAAGCAGCUGGGAAACCUUUGGCUUAACUUUUCCCUCCCUUGGAAAUACCAAUUUGAGAGGCAGGGUACCUAAGGGAGCAGGUGGAGUAGAACCCAAUAAUUCAAAAAUUCUUGAGUCUGGAAAGACAAAUGCCAGGUUGUUGUUGAUGAGAAGAGAGCACGAGAAGUAAAGGACUGCCAGACAGCCAGGUAGCAGGGAGGCUGGGAUGCCUGGCCCCACUCAGCCACUUACUGGGCUCUCCCCAAAUGCUUAGCAGAGAAGGCCUUGAACAGUCUAACAAGGGUCUCUUCCACCACCACUGUGCCAGCUUAGCUAUCUCAAGUUUGUGAAGUUUGGCACCACCUCCUACUUCUCCUCCCACCAGGAAUAAUUCAGGGGAUUCCCCACAGCCUCUCCUUCAGGAUGUGGAAACCACCCCACUUUGAGUUGACAGGUGUCCUGAAACUUUGCUGGGUGAUUAAACAGGAAGAGAUUGUUGAACAGGGACUGAGGAAAAUCUCGUCAUCAGAUUCAGUCUUCCUGCCUGCCAGAGUUUGUGAAGCAUAAUGGAAGUGAGAUGCCAUCUCUGGCACUGAACGACGGCCUGCAGCAAGUCACUUGGCCUCUCAGCCAUCCUACAAGGGCCACCUGUGCAGUCUGGAAAUUCACCCAUACAGACCUUACCUGUGGCAGGAAUGUGGUCUGUGCCUGGCUUCUGUCAUCACUCACUGCCUGGACUUUCCAGACAGAGGAUUUGUGGGAGGGGAAAGUUGCUACAAUCUACCCAAGAUACUUCCUCUUGCCUUGACCUCUCCCCGGUUUGCAACAGUGAUCUCAUGGACCUUUGCAAGCUCUGUCCACAGAUUGCUUCUGGAAGCAGUGAUUAACUUGUUCAGCGUCAUGCAACUAGUAGGUGAAGAAACCCAAGUUUAGAGGUCUUACCUCUCUAAAUAAUCAUCUGCCUUGGAUCACAACAAGCUGCCUUCAACUCUUUGUUGACAAACAUCUCCUGAGUUUUCUCCUUUGUGACUAAGAAGGAAUGAGCCAUCUCAGGGUCUGAACCCUUUGGAUAAGUUAUAUUGGAGGAGGAAGCCUGAAGGAGAGAUGUCACAAUGCCUGGGAUAACAAGAAGCCCACUAAGGGAUAAAGGAGGAUUCUGUCUUGGUUUAUUUGAGCUGCUGUAACAAAAUACUACAGGUUGGGUAAUGUAUAAACAAUACAAAUUUAUUUAUCUUGGUUCUGGAAGCUGAGAAGUCCAGGAUCAAGACACAGCAGCAUUAGUGACUGGUGAGGGCUGCUCUCUGCUCCCAAGAUGGUGCCUUGUUGCUACAAACUCCAGUGGGGAGGAACACUGUGUCCUCACAUGGCCGAAGGGUAUGAGCAUGCACCUUUCAACCUUUGGCCCUCUCUUAAAGGUGCUAAUUGCAUUCAUGAGGGCAGAGCCCUUGUGACAAUAACUUCCCAAAGCCCAUACCUCUUAAUAUUAUUGUAUUGGGGAUUAAAUUUCAAAGUGAAUUUUGGAAGGGACACCACGAAAUAACAGUAACUCCAAAUAUAAACCAAAGAAAACACCCUCUUCUGGGUGGUAUUUUUAACAUGCCAGUAGCUGAGUGGUUAGAAAUACAACUCAACACUCUGACCCAAGGCUUGAACCCCAGGAAGGAUGAAGUCAUUUAAGAGGGCUGAUCUAAGACAGCACUUGAGGUAAUCAGCCUGUUUUCUGUAAUGGCUGUGUUGACUCCAAAAAGCUGUAAGGCCUGUGUCUGUGACAAUGUCUUGUCACAUAAUAACCACCCCAUCCAAUGUCUGUGGAACAAAAAACUGAAUCAUGGGUGAAUAAAACAGGGGCCUUCUCCCAGUUCAUCAAUUCCACUCCCAGAUGCUGCCAUUACCUACAAUACCAACAAUUCCAGUGCCCAUUCUAGUGAAAACAAAACCAGAGAAAAAUGAAAAUCUAUUGUGCAUGGCAGAGGCUGGGGAAGGAUUUUUGGCACAGCUAUAUCUAGGAACACACCACUAGACUUUUCUUUAACUAAAGACAUGACUGUACCCUAUAUAAUCUCUAACAAGAUAGUUGAGAUCUUUCUGACAGACCUUUCUGACUCCACCAAAAGGAGUUUGAGACCCUUACUUCCAGGAGAAAUGGGGUCAACUAGGUGGAAUGGGACAUUAUUGGCUGGCAUUCAUAAAGUCCAACCUGUUCAUUCCAAUAGAAUGAAAUUGAACGUCUAGCUCUAAGGGAGGAAACCACCCCUCAUAUUGUCUUAUGCCCAAUUUCUGCCUCCAAAGAAAGAAAAAGUGAAAACUAAAAGGCAGAAAUGAAAUCCACAAGCAGACAGCCUGGCACCACACCCUGGGCCUGGUAGUUAAAGAUUGACCCCUGACCUAAUCAGUUAUGCUAUCUAUAGAUUACAGACAUUGUAUAGAAAAGCACUGUGAAAAUCCCUGUCCUGUUUUGUUUCGAUCUAAUUAUCGGUGCCUGCAGCCCCCAGUCAUGUACCCCCUGCUUGCUCAAUCAAUCAUGACCCUCUCACGCGCACCCCCUUAGAGUUGUGAGCCCUUAAAAGGGACAGGAAUUGCUCACUCGGGAAGCUCAGCUCUUGAGACAGGAGUCUUGCCG